UACAGAGGUCCCGAGCGUUGUUCGGAUUCACUGGGCGUAAAGGGCGCGUAGGUGGCGUCGUAAGUCUGUGGUGAAAGCCCGGAGCUCAACUCCGGGUCUGCCGCGGAUACUGCGAGGCUUGAGUGCUGUAGAGGGGGGUAGAAUGCCGGGUGUAGCGGUGGAAUGCGUAGAGAUCGGGAGGAACACCUGCGGCGAAAGCGGCUCACUGGACCAUAACUGACGCUGAUGCACGAAAGCUAGGGGAGCAAACAGG
rnacentral:rRNA from 1 species